CUGGCUCAGAUUGAACGCUGGCGGCAGGCCUAACACAUGCAAGUCGAACGGUAGCACAGAGAGCUUGCUCUCGGGUGACGAGUGGCGGACGGGUGAGUAAUGUCUGGGAAACUGCCCGAUGGAGGGGGAUAACUACUGGAAACGGUAGCUAAUACCGCAUAACGUCUUCGGACCAAAGUGGGGGACCUUCGGGCCUCACACCAUCGGAUGUGCCCAGAUGGGAUUAGCUAGUAGGUGGGGUAAUGGCUCACCUAGGCGACGAUCCCUAGCUGGUCUGAGAGGAUGACCAGCCACACUGGAACUGAGACACGGUCCAGACUCCUACGGGAGGCAGCAGUGGGGAAUAUUGCACAAUGGGCGCAAGCCUGAUGCAGCCAUGCCGCGUGUAUGAAGAAGGCCUUCGGGUUGUAAAAGUACUUUCAGCGGGGAGGAAGGCGAUGGAGUUUAAAUAGCUUCAUCGAUUGACG
rnacentral:rRNA from 1 species